rnacentral:rRNA from 1 species
UACGGAGGGUGCAAGCGUUAUCCGGAUUUACUGGGGUUAAAGGGAGCGCAGGCGGAUUGGUAAGUCAGUGGUGAAAUACCCGUGCUUAACAUGGGAACUGCCAUUGAUACUAUCAGUCUUGAAUGUUGUUGAGGUUUGCGGAAUGGGUCAUGUAGCGGUGAAAUGCAUAGAUAUGACCCGGAACACCUAUUGCGAAGGCAGCAGGCUAAACAAAUAUUGACGCUGAGGCUCGAAAGCGUGGGGAUCAAACAGG